rnacentral:lncRNA from 1 species
ACGAGUUGUUGUUUUGUAGAAGGGAUUGGGGUUUGGGAGAUUAGCCGGACACGAUCAGCAGGGAGAGCACAUGUGUUUUUAUGAGAAUUAUGCCGAGAUAGGUAACAGAUGAGGAAGAAAUUUGGGCAUGACUGAAGUAAUGGGGGCUGUCUGUGAAGACUUGCGGCAGUACAGCCCAGUUUACCUGUGAUGUGUGGCAUUUCCUACAUGUUGCUGUCAAUCAUGAAAUCCACCUCAAAAACCCCAAAUCCUUCAUUCUUACUGGAGGAAUAUGACCUCUCUACAAAGGAAACUAUUCUCAAUGUUGUGAGACACCAGACAUGCAGCCAGAGGAACUUAAUGAGGGCCAAGUUACCAGCAUAAAUGAGAAAAGUGGCUGUAAUGAGAUGUGCUGGAGUAAGUAACUCCUGAAAACAAAUAUCACGUUAGAGGAGCUACUGAAGGAUUUUCACAAUAUUAGAAGCAAAAGAGAUAAAAUGUUGAAAGCUGACUCAAACCUAGAAGAAAGGAUGGCAAUUCACUAAGGCAUGGAAAAGACCCUUGUUCCAUAUAAAAGGAGAAGGAAAAACGUAGUCAACAAACAUGGGCACAAGUUUUGGGGAAAAAAAACUGAUUUGUGGGCUCCUUCAGAUUGAUAAUGAAUAUGAUGUUUUAUUCAAUUACAUCUGAAGUUUAUUUGGAAAACAAUACAGAAACAUCUUCGUGAUUGGAAUGCAAAAUUAUGUGGUGCUAUUUCGAUUAAUUAUAGUCUAAUAAUUCGUUUUGCAGAUACACAGAAUACUUAAAUCUCAUGUUUUUAAAUGUGUAUAAACUAUUAAAUUACUUCAUUGUGAAUGGUUUACACAGUAAUUGGAUUAAGUUGGUGAAUCAAUAAAACAUGUUAACAUGAAAUUGCUGUUUGACAUGAUUCAUUUUAGCCUUAAUUAUUUUGAUUUUACCUAUUGGCAUAAUGCGUAUUUCCCAUCUUCCAAAUGAUUCAAGAAUCACAAAUUCAGUGUUUAUCAACACAGUGCAUGUAAAUCGUUUUAAUUACUUGUUAAUGAAGGUAUCACUAGAGAAAACAAUUAUAUGUGAAAAGUUGUAGAAUGUGAACAAUUGACAUUGUCAUUAAAGAAACCUGGUUGCAUAUAUCGUACAUUUACAUUAGAAAGAACCAAUAUUUCCAAGGUAUAUAAAGCCAUGUUUAUGCUAUGUGAUUACCUGAUUAUAU